rnacentral:rRNA from 1 species
GACGAACGCUGGCGGCGUGCUUAACACAUGCAAGUCGAACGAAGAGCGAUGGAAGCUUGCUUCUAUCAAUCUUAGUGGCGCACGGGUGAGUAACGCGUAAUCAACCUGCCCUUCAGAGGGGGACAACAGUUGGAAACGACUGCUAAUACCGCAUACGAUCUAACCUCGGCAUCGAGGAUAGAUGAAAGGUGGCCUCUACAUGUAAGCUAUCACUGGAGGAGGGGAUUGCGUCUGAUUAGCUAGUUGGAGGGGUAACGGCCCACCAAGGCGAUGAUCAGUAGCCGGUCUGAGAGGAUGAACGGCCACAUUGGGACUGAGACACGGCCCAGACUCCUACGGGAGGCAGCAGUGGGGAAUCUUCCGCAAUGGACGAAAGUCUGACGGAGCAACGCCGCGUGAGUGAUGACGGCCUUCGGGUUGUAAAGCUCUGUUAAUCGGGACGAAAGGCCUUCUUGCGAAUAGUUAGAAGGAUUGACGGUACCGGAAUAGAAAGCCACGGCUAACUACGUG